rnacentral:rRNA from 1 species
GACGUAGGGCGCAAGCGUUGUCCGGAAUUAUUGGGCGUAAAGAGCUCGUAGGCGGCUCAGUAAGUCGGGUGUGAAACCUCCAGGCUCAACCUGGAGACGCCACCUGAUACUGCUGUGGCUGGAGUCCGGUAGGGGAGCGUGGAAUUCCUGGUGUAGCGGUGAAAUGCGCAGAUAUCAGGAAGAACACCCGUGGCUAAGGCGGCUCUCUAGUACGGUACUGACGCUGAGGAGCGAAAGUGUGGGGAGCGAACAGG